CAGGCACCAAAACACAAUUUCAUCACGCCUGCAGCCAAAACAUAAUCUGGAGCUGUCUGGGUGUUAGCAUGUUAAUAUGGGAGAUCAACCAUGAAUAUAAAACGAUGUGACAGACACCGUCCUCCAACGCACAUGGAGCCAGUCCAGCCAGGCUUUUGGAAAUAGAACGCAUUCUUCAUGGCUCUUUACCCACAAGAGACGGAAGAGGCUGUGAAUAAACCACUGUGACCUGGCUGAUGAAUCAGACAGCAAAUCAGAGAGAAAUGGUCACUUUUCCCAAAAGGAAGGUCCAUGCAGCUGGCUGGGAUGCUGUCCAUCACAGCUGCCUGAGGAAAGCUGUGGUUUUCCAUGUAACGUCAGAGAGAAAGCAAUCAUUGCAGGGCCCCCAAAGACACUCGUUUCCAGCAGCCUGAGUGAGUGGAAUGUGUUUAUAAUAAAGUGGAUACUAGAAAUAGGAUUCAUUUCAUACAACUGGUUUUCUUGAAGUAUCUCUGUCCACAACCAUAAAUCAGAUAAGUGACCUACAUGAACCGUAGUUCCUCCUCAGCUUGGUCAAACUUCUGCCUGUGCUUAGUUCACUCAGAAAAAUGUACAAUGAGUAUAAUCAAGAGUCUUCAGUCUUCCAUAUGAACCUGGUUACCCAUGAUCUAGUGUUGAGGUUACAGAGUGAGUGAGUGAGUGAGUGAGUGAGUGAGUGAGUCUGAGGGGUUGGCUGACCUGAUUUGAGUGGAAAGAAUGUCUUUCAUGUGAAAACAACUUUCCAGAAAGGCUCCACGUCCCCCCACCUCUCUCCCUCUGCCCAGUAAAGACAAACAGCAUGACCUUAUACGGACUGAGAGAGAAGAAACGGCCACAGUCAUAUUCGUGAAGCAUC